rnacentral:rRNA from 1 species
UACGAAGGGGGCUAGCGUUGUUCGGAAUCACUGGGCGUAAAGCGCAUGCAGGCGGAUCGCUAAGUCGGGGGUGAAAGCCCGAGGCUCAACCUCGGAACUGCCUUCGAUACUGGCGAUCUUGAGUCCGGGAGAGGUGAGUGGAACUCCGAGUGUAGAGGUGAAAUUCGUAGAUAUUCGGAGGAACACCAGUGGCGAAGGCGGCUCACUGGUCCGGUACUGACGCUGAGGUGCGAAAGCGUGGGGAGCAAACAGG